AGUUAACAAGUGGAUGGAUAAAGAUGAAGGUGUGCGUGAAACGCGUUGGGCAUGCGUUUCACUCGAAUCCCUAUAAACUCUCUUUACCAUACACGAUUCCGAUUCAAUGGGAUAGAAUAGUACUAAUUCAAUUUUCCACCCAAAUAAGUACAAAAACAUUCCAAAUUUCAAAUCAAUCUUUCACUCUCCUUUUUGUUUUUGGUCCCUCUUCGCCCCCGCCAUUGAAAUGUAUCAUCGCGAAUAUUUUUGCAAGUGACAAACAAAAGAAGCAGAUCAAAUAUGCUAACAUUAUUGGUCCAGCAUACACCUCUUUCCAGAUUCACUCAUUUUUAUCAUCAGGAUCGACUCGAUUGUGGACCAUGAUGAUCGAGUGAACACUGGAUCACUACUUUCAACAGCAACAAUCUAUUGCAAUGACAACAUAAAUGAAAGAUUCUUCUUUGAUUAUAUGAGAAGCUAAGUGCUUAAUUAGUCCAAUCAUUCUUGGAUGUUGAUUUCUCCAGUUUCUACAGAAUACACAAGUAUGCCCUUUGUUGGAGAGAUGUCACAUACAUUAUUAUUGAAGACGGUACGAGUGUAUUCCCCACAAUCAUACUAUAUGGGGUCACUUAUUAUGAUGUAUAGGCAAAAAAAAUAGUCAAUAGUAUAUAAUUUUGUUUGAUAUUUGAUUUGUAAUUUAAUCCUCAUAUAACUCAAUAUACCAAUUAAUAUAUUAUUUAAUACCGCCUACAUAUAGAAUGACUAAGCCAC